UGCGUAACGCGUAUCGAACCUGCCUCAUACUCGGGGAUAGCCUUGCGAAAGUAAGAUUAAUACCCGGCGGUCUCGGAUGGCCGCAUGACUAUCCGAGUGAAGAUUUAUCGGUAUGAGAUGGCGAUGCGUCCCAUUAGCUUGUUGGUGAGGUAACGGCUCACCAAGGCAUCGAUGGGUAGGGGUUCUGAGAGGAAGGUCCCCCACAUUGGAACUGAGACACGGUCCAAACUCCUACGGGAGGCAGCAGUGAGGAAUAUUGGUCAAUGGACGAAAGUCUGAACCAGCCAAGUAGCGUGCAGGAAGACGGCCCUCUGGGUUGUAAACUGCUUUUAGUUGGGAAUAAAAAGAGGGACGUGUCCCUUAUUGUAUGUACCAUCAGAAAAAGGACCGGCUAAUUCCGUGCCAGCAGCCGCGGUAAUACGGAAGGUCCAGGCGUUAUCCGGAUUUAUUGGGUUUAAAGGGAGCGCAGGCGGCGGCGUAAGUCAGUUGUGAAAUCGUGCGGCUUAACCGUGCAAUUGCAGUUGAUACUGCGUCGCUUGAGUGCACACAGGGAUGUUGGAAUUCAUGGUGUAGCGGUGAAAUGCUUAGAUAUCAUGAAGAACUCCGAUCGCGAA
rnacentral:rRNA from 1 species